AAAUUCAGGCUCCUCCUCAGGCUUGAAGAGAUUUCAGGAGCGGUGACUCUCAUCUGCUCGAAGAUGAGCCCACUGUGGACCUUCCUCUUCGUGCUGUCAGCUCCCAGCGGGGUCCUGUCCCAGGUGCGGCUGCAGGAGUCGGGACCCAGCCUGGUGAAGCCCUCACAGACCCUCUCCCUCACCUGCGCUGUCUCUGGAUUCUCACUAACCAGCCAUCCUGUAGAGUGGGUCCGCCAGGCUCCAGGAAUGGGUCUGGAAUGGGUUGGUGCAAUAGAUUAUAAUGGAAACACAUACUAUAACGCAGCUCUGAAAUCCCGGCUCAGCAUCACCAGGGACACCUCCAAGAGCCAAGUCUCUCUCUCACUGAGCAGCGUGACACCAGAGGACACGGCCGUGUAUUACUGUGCAAGAGACACAACCAAGUGUUCCAGAUCUGAAGACCAGGGUGUCCUGUCCCAGGUGCAGCUGCAGGUUCCGGCCCAGGACUGGUGA